rnacentral:lncRNA from 1 species
CUGCUCUGGCUUGGGCAUGAGGGCAAACUGUCAGUAGUGAGGAGAUGCUAAAAUAUCUUUCAUCUCUUGAUUCCACAGCUGUGGCCUUGUCUUGGAAGAGUCUCCAGGAAGCCAAAGCAGUGCUACAAAGGAUUGAAAACAAAUUUUAUCAUCAAACGUGGAGCUGUGCCAAAUCACAGGCAGCCAGAAGAAAGCUUUGGCACGAAAAGAGCUUUGAUGCCAAGAGGAACAAAGAUGAAACAGCUUUGAGUGAGAAAAAGAGCAAUGAGAUUGCUGCAGCCCACAGGUAAAUAAUAACCUGAGUGUACAGCACCUGGGGGUGGGCUGAUAGAGGCACAUGUAAAGGGAUUUAAAAUUCUGGGAUGCAGGACUUCAGAAAAUGUUUAGUACCUUACUGCUUAUUGGGAAAAAAAGGGAGCAAAAGAGUCACCAAGCAAUUUCUCCCUCAGCUGUGACCAACAAGGCAGUGGAGGAAGGCAGUGCCUGAUAUCAUGGCAUAAUUUCUCAUAUCAGAUCACAAUUUGCACUGUACUUCCCUAAUAUUAUCUUUAUUUGCCAGGCUGCUGGUGACUGGCAAAGUGCUGAUUCUGUGGAG